UUGUUAAAAUUAAAGAAUAGUUGUAAGAGUGUAUAGUUACGUUUGUAACUUAUAUUGGUUUUGUAUUAGGUUUUAAGAAGCAUCUUUUUUAUGAGUAGUGGUGAGCGAAAGUAAUGUAUUAAGCUAUAGAGUAAAAGUACCGUGAGGGAAAUAUUAUAUAUAAUUUAGUGUAGUAGAGGUUGGGUCUUGUACCUUUUGUAUCAUGGCUUAUCGAGAGUUGUUCUGUUGUUAAUAGAGAGCCCGAAGAGGGGUGAGCUACUACGUGGCUUGGGCGUCAUUGUGGCAUAAAUGUGCCUAGAGUAUGUAGUAGGAGUGACAUUCUUUUCGCACCCUUGGAUAGCUGGUUAUCCGGGAAAUGCAUAUUAGUGCAGCCCUAAUGUUUUUAUUUAAUUGGAAAGAGUUAUUGAGCUGUCAUUAACUUAGGUAGCUUUAUGUUGGGUUAGGAGUGAGGUGGAAGGGGAUAAGCUCUUUUAUUUACUUAAAAGGUUUGUGGGAAGGGUUAUAGCUGUAUGAUUAAGUUGGUUUAAAAUUAUCUAUCUUAGGUGGGAGUUUUUUAUAAAAAAGUGUAGUAUCGAUUAUCUUUUAAUAGCUAUGGCAAACCUUUAUAGUUUUACCGGUUUACUUGGUUUAAUUGUGUUAACUUGGGGGAUUAUGUUAAGAUGAGUAUUUAGCUGUAAGAGUUUUAAUAAUAUGGGCCUUUGUUGUGAGGUACUGCGGUCCCAUAGUUGAUAUAAUUAGGUUAUUAAGUUGGUUUGACAAGUGUGAAAAUUUUUAGAAGGAACUCGGCAAAAAGUAGCUUCGCCUGUUUAUCAAAAACAUGGCCCCUUGUAGAUCUUAACAUGGGGGGUCUGACCUGCCCGGUGACAUUAACUUGUUAAACGGCCGCGGUACCCUGACCGUGCGAAGGUAGCAUAAUAAUUUGCCUUUUAAUUGGAGGAUGGAAUGAAUGGUUUGACGAGAGCUAAUCUGUCUCCUUUAAAAUAUUUAAAAAUUAACUUCUAGGUGAAGAGGCCUAGAUUUAGCUAAGGGACAAGAAGACCCUAUCGAGCUUUAGUGGCCCUUGGGUUGGAAGGCUUUCAUAUUGUGAAGAGCUGUAUCUUAAGGAAAUCUUUGAUUGGGGCGGUCCAGGAAUAUAAAAAACUUCCUGUUUUAUUUAAUUAACAUACCUGUUUGUGUUGAUCCAGUUUUUACUGAUUGAAGGAAAAAGUUACCGUAGGGAUAACAGCGUAAUCUUCUUGGAGAGUUCUUAUUGAAAAGCGGGUUUGCGACCUCGAUGUUGGACUAAGAUAUCCUGAGGGCGUAGAGGCUUUCAAGGGUUGGUCUGUUCGACCAUUAAAAUCUUACAUGAUCUGAGUUCAGACCGGCGUAAGCCAGGUCGGUUUCUAUCUUUGGGUGUGAAUAGGCCUCGGGUUAGUACGAAAGGAUCAUCAUUGUUGUGGGUAAAAAUUUUAGAUUAAGUUUAUGAGUUGAUCUAAUUUACUAUUAAAGUGCGU
rnacentral:rRNA from 1 species